rnacentral:lncRNA from 10 species
CGCAUAGUACUGAUUGCAGUAGGAGUCGGUGGGCCUCGAGUAGGUGGGCCUCCGUAGGGAGCCAGCGUGGAUCGAGUGCGGGGCCUGGACUUCCCGCCCCCUCCGCACUGCAGACUCUGCGGUGAUUUAAAGGUGCCUGGCGGUGGUACGGGAUCCAACUGUAAAAUGUCAUCCCAGCUAGUGUGACAUCACCACAGUUUAGUGUGACACCCCCAGAGCUUGGGCAGUGUACGGGACGACAGUGCCUAGCAGAGGAGCUUCACUGCCGGUGAGGGAUUACCUCAGGUUAGGCUUUAAUGUUUCGUUGCCGUCUAGAGACGUUCUAGCAAUGUGACAUCUGUGUACCAUAUCUGGAAGUCUCCCUGUACGUCAAGAGCCCCUUAGGGGAGUCUCCCAUUGCCGCCGUGGGAACCUGUGUUUACAUUACGAGGAGAGAGAAUAGCUGUACUCUGAACUCAAACGCUCAAAACAUGCAGUGAGCGAAUGCUAGCAUAAUUUUCUUGCCUCUACCAGAAGGAAGGCUGGGUAUUUAGGAAACAGAACGCGUUGGGCACAACAUUCUGAGAAAAUGGACACAGAAAAUUAGGUUAUCCUAAUAGAAAAGCAGUUGCAUCUCCCAAAGUCAAGAGAUUCUGUAGGACUUCCGAUGUAUCUCCUGCUGUGUAAAAUAUUCAGGUUCCUGAAGUGGGGGACAUUUUUAGGGCAACUGUAAUUUCUUCAUUUUUUCCAUCCCACAAGUGCUGGAGGCAGCAGUGAUCUGAGCUCUAGAAAGUGACUGUCCGUCACCAUCGGUAUUUGCAUAUACUCUGUGAGGAGAAGGGCAGUUGUGGCUAAGACAAAAUUCUACUAUCAAGUUUUGUUUCUCAAAUCUCACUCAUUAACAUCUUUGAUUUCCUUGGAUCCCCAUAACACACACAGAAAACUAUGAUUUGUGUAAAAUGCGCUGAAGUACCUUUUAAGGGAAGUCAUUUGGCUUUCUCUCUGGCUUAACAACACGGGGAGCAGUUCCAUUUUAUCUGGAACAGGGAAGUUUAUUUCCCUAGAGAACUAGGGUUACCAAAAAUGUUCGAUCCCACAAGGCAGUUUUGUUUGCAUAUUUUCACAGAAACUUCCUUCUACUACUUAAAGUCCUCACAUUGGGCUGACCUGGGAAACAUGAAGAUAAAAAGAGUGGGUAAACAUGCCUGCUUGAUGAGCCAGAAAAAAAGGCAGAAACCUGUGGUCUGGGUAGAACAGAUCCUGCUCAGAAUGUAAGCUUCAAACAUGUUUAUCAUGCCUUGGUUCAACCUAACUCUCUGACAUGUUCCUAAACUCCUGCUCUCUCAAGUUAUGUCCCUUUCCUCUUUUCAAAUAUCUCUCAGAAUUCACCCUUUCGGGAACCUUUGCUGAUUGACUCCUAUUUUAUUUGAAUUCUGCAUCAUCAUCUGAUUACUUAAAUUAACCUGUACCUUCUUUAUUUAUACUUGUUAACUUCUAUUUUCAUUGCUCUUAGGUCCUCAGUCUUUCUCACUAUACGGAGAGCUUCUUAAAGUCUGUAUUUUCUCCUCUUUAGUAUCAUUCACUCAUUCAUCCAGCAAACUGCUUGUGUGCCUGCUCUGUGCUAUACACUCUUCUAGACACUGGGUCAGGUAUGAAUGAGACAGGUGAAUAAAGCAUGGUCUUUUCCCUCAGGGACCUUACAGUCUAAUGAGGAAAAAACGUGUGCAGACAUAUAUAAGAUAAGUGAGAGAGUCGGAGAAGAACAUCAGAAGUGAUAUUUGAGCAUAGUAAGGUCAAAGAAGUUUCAAAGUUUAGUCAUUUGUCCAUUCAGUAACUAUUUAUAGAGCAUCUUCUGUGUGCUAGGCACUAUAUAAGAAAUUAAGGGGCUGGGUGUGGUGGCUCAUGCCUGUAAUCCCAGCACUUCGGGAGGCUGAGGCAGGUGAAUCACCUGAGGUCAGGAGUUCGAGACCAGCCUGGCCAACAUGGUGAAACCCCGUCUCUACUAAAAAUACAAACAUUAGCCAAGUGUAGUGGCGCAUGCCUGUAAUCCCAGCUACCCUGGAGGCUUAAGCAGAAGAACCGCUGGAACCCAGGAGAAGAAGGCUACCAUGAGCCGAGAUUGCACCAUUGCACUCCAGCCUGGGCGACAGUGAGACUCUGUCUCAAAAAAAAAAAAAAGAAAGAAAGAAAGAAAUAAAAAAAAAAGAAAUUAAGGAUACACAGAAGAAAAGGCAUGGUCUGUGCCCUGAAGGAGCUUACAGUUAAGCAGAGAAGUUGCACGAUUUGGAAGUAGUAAGGUAAAUUGAGUCAGAUUUUGAAAGGCAAUGUAGAGCUGUUAGAAGUUUAUUCGCACAGGUAGCCAGGCACAGUGGCUCAUGCCUGUAAUCCCAGCACUUUGGGAAGCCAAGGUGGCAGAUCACUGGAGGUCAGGAGUUCAAGACCAGCCUGGCCAACACAGUGAAACCCCAUCUCUACUACAAAUACAAAAAUUAGCCAGAUAUGGUGGCAUAUGCUUGUAAUCCCAGCUACUCGGGAGGCUGAGGCAGGAGAAUCGCUUGAAUCCGGGAGGCAGAGGUUGCAGUGAGCCGAGAUCGUGCCACUGCAGUCUAGGCUGGGCAAACAGAGCCAGACUCUGUCUCAAAAAAGAAGUUUAUUCAGACAGGAAAGAAGGCGAGAAGGGGCAGAUAUGUGAAAUACAUCCUCCUAAACCAAGUCAGAGCAACUGGAGAGGGAGGUGGAGCAGUUAGCAAUCGGAAGCAUUCAAGUUUCAUUCAGGGUAUAAACCAGGAAAAGUUGUUCUGGCCCCUCAUCUGGUUUCAUGAAGGACAAUAUCUAGCAUGAGAGUGACAGGGGUUAGAAUAAUGGACAUUUUGGGGACUGGGUCCUAGCAGAAAUGAUGGAAUAAUGGAACAGGAGUUUGGAUGAAUGGGCAUAUUAUGGGAUUAAAGAAGAUUUGAAUACAAGCUUUCCUAAUAAAUGAAAGGGGAGGUGAAACUAGAGCAUGCUGAUGGCUGCACAGCAUUGUGAAUGCACUAAAUGCACUAACUGUCCACUUUAAAAUGUUUAGUAAUAUGUCGAUUUUACCUAAAUAAAAAAAAGGAAGCAACAGAACUUCAGGACUGGGAGGCCGAGGUAGGAGGAUUGCUUGAAGACAGGAGUUGAAGACCAGCCUGAGCAUCAUAACAAGACCUCAUCUCUAUUUAAAAAAGAAGAAACCUCAAAAUAACAAUUAUCGUCAUUGACUGUGAAUUUAAUUUUUUUAUUAUUACUUUUGUAAACUCACUUUGAUGAAACCUGUAAGCAGUCAACAGGUGGUUCUUUUCAC